rnacentral:rRNA from 1 species
GAUGAACGCUAGCUACAGGCUUAACACAUGCAAGUCGAGGGGUAACGAGAGGAAAGCUUGCUUUCCUUGUCGACGACCGGCGCACGGGUGAGUAACGCGUAUCCAACCUGCCCCCAACUAGGGAAUAACCUUGCGAAAGUAAGACUAAUACCCUAUAAUUUCCUCAGAUGUCAUCUGACGAGGAAUAAAGAUUUAUCGGUUGUGGAUGGGGUUGCGUCUGAUUAGCUUGUUGGCGGGGUAACGGCCCACCAAGGCAACGAUCAGUAGGGGUUCUGAGAGGAAGGUCCCCAACAUUGGAACUGAGACACGGUCCAAACUCGUACGGGAGGCAGCAGUGAGGAACAUUGGUCAAUGGGCGGAAGUCUGAACCAGCCAAGUAGCGUGCAGGAUGACGGCCCUAUGGGUUGUAAACUGCUUUUAUACAGGAAUAAAGUUAGCCACGUGUGGUUAUUUGUAGGUACUGUAUGAAUAAGGACCGGCUAAUUCCGUGCCAGCCGCCGCUGUAA